rnacentral:rRNA from 1 species
UCAGGAUGAACGCUGGCGGCGUGCCUAAUACAUGCAAGUCGAGCGAACAGAUAAGGAGCUUGCUCCUUUGACGUUAGCGGCGGACGGGUGAGUAACACGUGGAUAACCUACCUAUAAGACUGGGAUAACUUCGGGAAACCGGAGCUAAUACCGGAUAAGAUUUUGAACCGCAUGGUUCAAUAGUGAAAGACGGCCUUGCUGUCACUUAUAGAUGGAUCCGCGCCGUAUUAGCUAGUUGGUAAGGUAACGGCUUACCAAGGCAACGAUACGUAGCCGACCUGAGAGGGUGAUCGGCCACACUGGAACUGAGACACGGUCCAGACUCCUACGGGAGGCAGCAGUAGGGAAUCUUCCGCAAUGGGCGAAAGCCUGACGGAGCAACGCCGCGUGAGUGAUGAAGGUCUUCGGAUCGUAAAACUCUGUUAUCAGGGAAGAACAAACGUGUAAGUAACUGUGCACGUCUUGACGGUACCUGAUCAGAAAGCCACGGCUAACUACGUGCCAGCAGCCGCGGUAAUACGUAGGUGGCAAGCGUUAUCCGGAAUUAUUGGGCGUAAAGCGCGCGUAGGCGGUUUUUUAAGUCUGAUGUGAAAGCCCACGGCUCAACCGUGGAGGGUCAUUGGAAACUGGAAAACUUGAGUGCAGAAGAGGAAAGUGGAAUUCCAUGUGUAGCGGUGAAAUGCGCAGAGAUAUGGAGGAACACCAGUGGCGAAGGCGACUUUCUGGUCUGUAACUGACGCUG